rnacentral:rRNA from 1 species
CGGUAGAGGAGCAAUCCUCGAGAGUGGCGAACGGGUGAGUAAUACAUCGGAACGUGCCCAGUCGUGGGGGAUAACGUAGCGAAAGCUACGCUAAUACCGCAUACGACCCGAGGGUGAAAGCGGGGGACUCGCAAGAGCCUCGCGCGAUUGGAGCGGCCGAUGGCAGAUUAGGUAGUUGGUGGGGUAAAGGCCCACCAAGCCUGCGAUCUGUAGCUGGUCUGAGAGGACGACCAGCCACACUGGGACUGAGACACGGCCCAGACUCCUACGGGAGGCAGCAGUGGGGAAUUUUGGACAAUGGGCGAAAGCCUGAUCCAGCCAUACCGCGUGCGGGAAGAAGGCCUUCGGGUUGUAAACCGCUUUUGUCAGGGAAGAAAUACUUCGGGCUAAUACCCUGGGGUGAUGACGGUACCUGAAGAAUAAGCACCGGCUAACUACGUGCCAGCAGCCGCGGUAAUACGUAGGGUGCAAGCGUUAAUCGGAAUUACUGGGCGUAAAGCGUGCGCAGGUGGUUCUAUAAGACAGAUGUGAAAUCCCCGGGCUCAACCUGGGAACUGCAUUUGUGACUGUAGAGCUAGAGUACGGUAGAG